rnacentral:sRNA from 1 species
UGGAUUGAGUGUCGGUCUGUUUCAACCAC